AGAUUGAACGCUGGCGGCGUGCCUAACACAUGCAAGUCGAGCGGUAACAGGUGUAGCAAUACAUGCUGACGAGCGGCGAACGGGUGAGUAAUGCUUUGGAAUCUUCCCAGUAGUGGGGAAUAACCAGUCGAAAGAUUGGCUAAUACCGCAUACGUCUGUAAAGGGAAAGCGGGGGCUCGUAAGACCUCGCGCUAUUGGAUGAGCCAAAGUCGGAUUAGCUUGUUGGUGGGGUAAUGGCCUACCAAGGCGACAAUCCGUAGCUGGUCUGAGAGGACGACCAGCCACACCGGAACUGAGACACGGUCCGGACUCCUACGGGAGGCAGCAGUGGGGAAUAUUGGACAAUGGGGGAAACCCUGAUCCAGCGACGCCGCGUGUGUGAAGAAGGCCUGCGGUUGUAAGCUCUUUCGCCCACGACGAUAAUGACGGUAGUGGGAGAAGAGCCCGGCUAACUUCGUGCCAGCAGCCGC
rnacentral:rRNA from 1 species